rnacentral:rRNA from 1 species
UGAGGAAUAUUGGUCAAUGGGCGGAAGCCUGAACCAGCCAAGUCGCGUGAGGGAAUAAGGCCCUACGGGUCGUAAACCUCUUUUGCCGGGGAGCAGUGCCCAGCUCGCGAGCUGGGAGGGAGCGUACCCGGAGAAAAAGCAUCGGCUAACUCCGUGCC